UACGUAGGGGGCUAGCGUUAUCCGGAAUUACUGGGCGUAAAGGGUGCGCAGGUUGUUUGAUAAGUCAGUGGUGAAAGUCUGUCGCUUAACGGUAGGAUUGCCAUUGAUACUGUUAGACUUGAAUAUGGAUGAGGUAGGCGGAAUGUGUAGUGUAGCGGUGAAAUGCAUAGAUAUUACACAGAACACCGAUUGCGAAGGCAGCUUACUAAUCCAUCAUUGACGCUGAGGCACGAAAGCGUGGGGAUCAAACAGGA
rnacentral:rRNA from 1 species